rnacentral:rRNA from 1 species
CACUCCUACGGGAGGCAGCAGUGGGGAAUUUUGGACAAUGGGCGAAAGCCUGAUCCAGCAAUGCCGCGUGAGUGAAGAAGGCCUUCGGGUUGUAAAGCUCUUUUGUCAGGGAAGAAACGGUGAAAGCUAAUAUCUUUUGCUAAUGACGGUACCUGAAGAAUAAGCACCGGCUAACUACGUGCCAGCAGCCGCGGUAAUACGUAGGGUGCAAGCGUUAAUCGGAAUUACUGGGCGUAAAGCGUGCGCAGGCGGUUUUGUAAGUCUGAUGUGAAAUCCCCGGGCUCAACCUGGGAAUUGCAUUGGAGACUGCAAGGCUAGAAUCUGGCAGAGGGGGGUAGAAUUCCACGUGUAGCAGUGAAAGGCGUAGAUAUGUGGAGGAACACCGAUGGCGAAGGCAGCCCCCUGGGUCAAGAUUGACGCUCAUGCACGAAAGCGUGGGGAGCAAACAGGAUUAGAUACCCUAGUAGUCCC